AGCACAAUCCGGCUUAAGGGUUUCAUCGUAACGUGCAUUUUGUUACAAGAGUAUCACAUCACUCAUGUAAAGAUGGUUCCAACAUAAAAAAAAAAAAUGAAAUAAUGCUUGCAAGGUCCUCAAGAACAAAAAAGCAGAGGGCAUGAGUUCUUCAAAAGUCACCAACUAAAGCAGCACAGAAUAUUCAAAUUGGGUUGUUCAUCAAGUGUCAAAUGUAUCUGAAUUAUCCAGGCACCCCACUUUUUAUGCCUUUCAUCUUAAUGGAUGAAAGAUGGGAUCCCGGAACCCACCAGCAGACAACAAAAGAAAGUCAAGGGAUUUACAUAAUAUCUAAUAAUUUGAAUCCACCCAAAGAAAUGCAGCCAUCUUUACCAAUGUGAAACUUCCCAUGUGAAUAGCUACUGUGAUGCACGACCUUCCCAUGUGCUUUUCAACAGAUCUUCAGACUCACCACCAUCACUUUCUUCCUUUCUACCAAAUUCUACGCCCUGGAAUGUGACCCUAGAUGACCUAUACUGACUACCAAAGCCAGUGCCAAAGCCCCAUCCAAGGCCUAGACCAAUCCCGCAGCCACCGCCUAUAAAGAAACAAAGUUCUAAUUCCAAGUUACUCUUUGAACAUGAUGGUUUAUAUAGGGAUUUAAAACAUUCAUCAAUUAGAAUUUCAUGGGACAGAUUAACAAGAGAUUUUCCUUUGAGCAAGGAAAAGAUGUGUACCUGCACCUAGACCCAAAACGUUCAUUGGCAUGCCUGCACAAUACAAACAUUAGCAAUAAAAUGCUCAGUAUCAAAAGGUGAAGGGGAAAAUUUCACGAAGAUGUUUUGAGUAUGGAGGCAUAAUCUUUAAUUUCUUAGGAAGCUUAGACGAAGCAACAGUUGUAAUUGAAAUAUUAAUAUAGCACAUUCUACUCAACUCAACUCAACUAAACUUGAGUCAUAUAUCUAGUUUUAAUUUUCCUAGGAGAAUGCAUGCACCGUGUUGUUUAACUGUUCUACUUAGUAGUCCAUAUUAUAUAAGUUGAUCUACAUUCUUGAAUUGCAAAAGGUGAACUAAUAUACCUAUAUAUACGUGUGUUUUUCUAAUGUUGCUUUGUCUAAUGUUGCAAAUCUGAAGAUUGAACUUUGCGUCCAAAUUUUUGGUUUGAUAGAGAACAGAAGAAGAAGCCAUUUCCCACCGAUUGACGGGCCCUUGUCAUCAUCCGUUAGGCGUA
rnacentral:misc_RNA from 1 species